rnacentral:rRNA from 1 species
UACGGAGGGGGCGAGCGUUAUUCGGAAUUAUUGGGCGUAAAGGGCGCGUAGGCGGCCCGGUAAGUCAAAGGUGAAAUCCCUCGGCUCAACUGAGGAACUGCCUUUGAAACUGUCGGGCUUGAGGCCGGGAGGGGCUAGCGGAAUUCCCAGUGGAGCGGUGAAAUGCGUAGAGAUUGGAAAGAACACCGAUGGCGAAGGCACUUUACUGGGCUAUUACUAACACUCAGAGACGAAAGCUAGGGUAGCAAAUGGG